CCGGCGGGGGCUGCCCCGCGCUGGGCACAGGGAAGGCUCCUGCAGACGUUUGUUCCCGGUGUAUGGAAACUUCUGAUGAGAGCUGGUGGAAGCAGUGAAGUCAUUACCAGGACGUGUGUGGCUGCCCCGUGCUCUGCCCUCCUUGCUGGAUGUGUGGACACACAGAGCUGAUGAUACCAAAAGGCACGUGGAACGGACCACAUUGUCCAGAGCUAGGAGAUGAAAAUUCCCCAAGAAAUCAGGCUUCUCUCCUGGGAAAGAUGGAUAAACCCCACGGUGUACCAGCGGGGACUGGAAUAUUCCCCACAUCCUGCUAGAUCUCUGCUAAUCAGAAAAGAAAAGAGAGCCUCUGCUCAGAAGGGAAUAAAGACAUCCUGAGGGAUAAUCCAGCAGAGGAAGCUGGCAGAGCCAUGGCCCUCUGCCACCUCACAAAAAUUUGCAGUUCUGUGGGGAGCUAAACCUCAGGAAAAAGAGCAAUUUUAGUCUUCCUGGAUGGCCUGAAGGUAACAACGCUGCCCUGUGCAACACAGUUGCUGCCAGAGCAGCUGCAGGGAUGGGAACACAUUUCUCAGUUAUUGGAGCAGGGAAUUGUGCUGGGAUUCCUGGGUUCUUCCCCCAGCUCUGCCUUUGAUUUGUGGUGUGUGCAGACCCCUUAAUUUGUUUCUGUUUUCCCCAUCUGUGGAACUGAGAUAAGAUCACAGGGGAAUUGUAAAGUGUGCUUCAUUAAUGUUUAUUAGACGGGGGAAAUCCUUAAAUGAAUGGCACUGUAUUCCAGGAGGACAAAGUUCAAGACUGCAAAGGGGUUGAUUAAAACCAAAUCUGCUAUUCCCAGGCUGGGAGGACAAAAAAAAAAAGAAAAAAAGAAAAAAAAAAGUGGAUUGAAAAACCUUACCUAGCCCUGUGUCUGCCAAAAGAAGGAUAUGAUUUAAAUAAAAUCAUGCAGACUGCAAGUGUGCAGUGUGCAUAAAUGUGUCUAUUAAAACCAUUAAAUAUUUCUUGGCAAAUACACAGCAAAAAGUGAA